UAUAAGUGCAACCAUAAGUUUCCGCGCCCAACUUUGAUCGUUCGUCUUAUUUAAAUUUUUUUUAUAAUUAGUAUUUAUAUUGUUAUGAGAUGAUAAAACAUGAAUAGUACUUUACUCGUAACUUAUGUUUUUAAAUUUUUUUAAAUUUUUUUCAAGAUAAAACGGACGAUCAAAGUUGGGCGCGAAAAACCAUGGCUGCACUUAUA
rfam:Oryza sativa (indica cultivar-group) chromosome 8, whole genome shotgun sequence.